rnacentral:rRNA from 1 species
GACGAACGCUGGCGGCGUGCUUAACACAUGCAAGUCGAGCGGACCGGCGAACGGGUGAAUAACGCGUGAAUAACUGCCCCCCUCUCUGGGAUAAGAGUUGAAAACUGCUGCUAAUACCGGAUAGUGGGGGAUGAGGAGGGGCCUAUCAGCUUGUUGGUGGGGUAGUGGCUUACCAAGGCGACGACGGGUAGCCGGCCUGAGAGGGCGACCGGCCCCAGACGGCUCGGGUACCGGCCAAAGGGCUACGGGCGGCAGCGGUGGGGAAUAGUGCGCACUGGGGGAAAUCCGGAUGGAGCAACGCCGCGUGGGGGAUGACGGUUUUCGGGUUGUAAACCGCUUUCAGCCAUGACGCGGUAGCGGCAGAAGAAGCACCGGCUAACUACGUGCCAGCAGCCGCGGUAAUAC